rnacentral:rRNA from 1 species
CCCUUAGAUGUCCUGGGCCGCACGCGCGCUACACUGAGUGUCUGAGAUACGAGUCUGCCUGGUCCGGCAAGGUCUAGGUAAUCGCUAAAAGACACAUCAUGCUUGGGAUAGAUUAUUGCAAAUAUUAAUCUUGAACGAGGAAUUCCUAGUAAGCGUAAGUCAUAAGCUUGCGCUGAUUACGUCCCUGCCCUUUGUACACACCGCCCGUCGCUACGACCGACUGUUUCUGUCAAUGAAGCUGUAGGAUUCGGCCCUGGCCGGGGCGCAAGCCCUGGCUACGUGGUUGGAGAUCAUAGUUUAGUUGAUACGAAAUACAGGACGUAAAAGUCGUAACA